rnacentral:rRNA from 1 species
GUCCACGCCUUAAACUAUGAAUACUAAGUGUCGGCGGGUUACCGCCGGUGCCGCAGCUAACGCAUUAAGUAUUCCGCCUGGGAAGUACGGCCGCAAGGUUGAAACUCAAAUGAAUUGACGUGGGCCCGCACAAGCGGUGGAGCAUGUGGUUUAAUUCGAUGCAACGCGAAGAACCUUACCCAGGCUGGACAUGCAGGUAGUAGAAGGGUGAAAGCCCAACGAGGUAGCAAUACCAUCCUGCUCAGGUGCUGCAUGGCUGUCGU